AUUGAACGCUGGCGGCAGGCCUAACACAUGCAAGUCGAACGAGUGGCGGACGGGUGAGUAAUGUCUGGGAAACUGCCUGAUGGUGGGGGAUAACUACUGGAAACGGUAGCUAAUACCGCAUACCAUCGGAUGUGCCCAGAUGGGAUUAGCUAGUAGGUGGGGUAAAGGCGCACCUAGGCGACGAUCCCUAGCUGGUAUGAGAGGAUGACCAGCCACACUGGAAUCGAGACACGGUCCAGAAGCCUAGGGGAGACAGCAGUGGGGAAUAUUGCACAAUGGGCGCAAGCCUGAUGCAGCCAGGCCGCGUGUAUGAAGAAGGCCUUCGGGUUGUGAAGUACUUUCAGCGAGGAGGCGUUACCCGCAGAAGAAGCACCGGCUAACGCCGUGCCAGCCGCCGCGGUAAUUC
rnacentral:rRNA from 1 species